rnacentral:rRNA from 1 species
AGACGCGCGAGGUGGUCGUUGUUAAGUUGGAUGUGAAAUCCCCGGGCUCAACCUGGGAACUGCAUCCAAAACUGGCAAGCUAGAGUAUGGUAGAGGGUGGUGGAAUUUCCUGUGUAGCGGUGAAAUGCGUAGAUAUAGGAAGGAACACCAGUGGCGAAGGCGACCACCUGGACUGAUACUGACACUGAGGUGCGAAAGCGUGGGGAGCAAACAGGAUUAGAUACCCGUGU